GUGGUUCUGAGCUCUUAUUGUUAGUUUCUCAUGAAGUUGUGUUUGUGUGUUUUUAGGUGCAGCUGUCCAGAUCUCUGCUGGCUGGACGGAGAGAAACCAGGACAGACUGUCUGUCUGCUGAGGACAGUAACACACACUGCAGCACAACCAGCAGGUGGUUUUGUCCCCUCAGCAGGGGGCAGCAGGUGGAUGAUGAAGACAUAAUUGAAGAUGUCGGCAGACUUCCUGACUCUGUGGGUUCGUAUCUUAUUAGUUGAUUUCAGAGUUUAUAUCACAGCUGUAGCUCCGCCUCUCUCAGCCAAUCACAGCUGUGCCCCCCCCCCUCAGUGGUCGAUCGUCGGAGCUCUGACAUCAUCGAACGACUGACAGAGAAAAAAAGCCAAAAACACAAAGAAGCUCUGAAACAGCUGGAGGCAGAACUCGCACACCUCACACAGGUGUGUGAGACUCAGGUGAGGACCGUCAGUGUGGAGUUGCUGUCCUCUCUGCAGGACGUGGACCUCAGAUUGAACACCCUGAAGGACAGAAUGGAACACCUGGAACCCGUCAGUGUGCGGGAGGUGUGUGUUCUCUGGCAGGAGGUGGAGGAGGAGGUGAAGCUGAAGAAGUUCAGAAUCGUGGAGCUGAACCACAAACUGACCGAAUCUGAGACUCAACGCACUGACAAAGUCGGACUGAGUUCAACAUGUUCCAGAUAAAUAAUAAAGAUUUAUUCUCUAAACAUGUGCACAUACAUAUACUCACAAGAUGCAGUAGUGCUGAUAAAAAGAUGAUCAAUAAUGAAAUGAAAGAUCACAAAUCCUCAGAGGCUCUUUAAAUAUAUUUUAUACUUUUAUUGUUUGUGAGAAUUAAAGCUGAAAAGUCCAUGAAGAAAAGAGGUGGCGCGUCGGGAACCAAAAACAUUUAUUAAUAUAAAAUAAAGACUUGGGAUGUUAAUUUAUAAUAUUUAUACGUUUAUCUGCCUCAGUGUUCUUCUUGUAGUUAGGUAUGAACCAUGUGUUCCACACAUAAUACAUGUGUGUGUGUUUCUUAUAGAUCAGAGUUGUGCUCAGGAAGAACCUCCACCUGCUGGGGAAGAUCAGCUUCCUACCUCCACCUGACGUCUGCAGGCUGAUCCACACUGAGGCCACGGUAACCCUCUGACCCCUGACCUCUAACCUCUGACCCAAUGUCCACACUAACAGACUCACAGGCUUUGAGGUG
rnacentral:lncRNA from 1 species